rnacentral:rRNA from 1 species
UAGCCGUAAACGAUACUCGCUAGGUGUCGGCCACGGUGCGACCGUUGUCGGUGCCGCAGGGAAGCCGUGAAGCGAGCCACCUGGGAAGUACGGCCGCAAGGCUGAAACUUAAAGGAAUUGGCGGGGGAGCACAACAACGGGUGGAGCUUGCGGUUUAAUUGGAUUCAACGCCGGGAAGCUCACCGGAUAAGACAGCGGAAUGAUUGCCGGGCUGAAGACCCUGCAUGACCAGCUGAGAGGUGGUGCCAUGGCGUAGUCGUGU